GAGGCAGUCUGGGAAAAUGGGAAAAACUGGGGGCAAAAUGUCCUGAAAGCGGGCGGAGACAAUGAGGCUGAAGGAAAUAAAUAUGCUGAGAACAGAACUGACUGUGAAAGAGGAACAUUUAAGAGAUUGGCCUGUUUGUCAUAUGUAGAAUGCAGAAAGGCAUCGCUGGCAGAUGAUGGCAUAUAUCACGUUAGAAGAUGAACAAAAGGUUAGAGGUGGUAAAACCUAAGUAGGCCUAAAGAGGUUACCACUGAAAUGAGGACAUCGGUCCUAUAUAUUAAAGCAUUUCUGUACAAAUUAAAAAGAGCACCGUCCACUGAGAGAAAAGUUCUUGUGUGCAAAGCCUAUCAAAAAGUAUGGGAACUCUGCAAGAGCACCAUAGUUAUUUUGCACAACUGCCACUUAUUUCAGUGGAGAUAGCACCCUAAAAAG